AUUGAACGCUGGCGGCAGGCUUAACACAUGCAAGUCGAGCGGGGGAAGGUAGCUUGCUACCGGACCUAGCGGCGGACGGGUGAGUAAUGCUUAGGAAUCUGCCUAUUAGUGGGGGACAACAUCUCGAAAGGGAUGCUAAUACCGCAUACGUCCUACGGGAGAAAGCAGGGGAUCUUCGGACCUUGCGCUAAUAGAUGAGCCUAAGUCGGAUUAGCUAGUUGGUGGGGUAAAGGCCUACCAAGGCGACGAUCUGUAGCGGGUCUGAGAGGAUGAUCCGCCACACUGGGACUGAGACACGGCCCAGACUCCUACGGGAGGCAGCAGUGGGGAAUAUUGGACAAUGGGGGGAACCCUGAUCCAGCCAUGCCGCGUGUGUGAAGAAGGCCUUAUGGUUGUAAAGCACUUUAAGCGAGGAGGAGGCUACUUUAGUUAAUACCUAGAGAUAGUGGACGUUACUCGCAGAAUAAGCACCGGCUAACUCUGUGCCAGCAGCCGCGGUAAUACAGAGGGUGCGAGCGUUAAUCGGAUUUACUGGGCGUAAAGCGUGCGUAGGCGGCUUAUUAAGUCGGAUGUGAAAUCCCCGAGCUUAAC
rnacentral:rRNA from 1 species